GAUGAACGCUGGCGGCGUGCUUAACACAUGCAAGUCGAACGAUGAAGCCCAGCUUGCUGGGUGGAUUAGUGGCGAACGGGUGAGUAACACGUGAGUAACCUGCCCUUAACUCUGGGAUAAGCCUGGGAAACUGGGUCUAAUACCGGAUAGGAGCGUCCACCGCAUGGGGGGUGUUGGAAAGAUUUAUCGGUUUUGGAUGGACUCGCGGCCUAUCAGCUUGUUGGUGAGGUAAUGGCUCACCAAGGCGACGACGGGUAGCCGGCCUGAGAGGGUGACCGGCCACACUGGGACUGAGACACGGCCCAGACUCCUACGGGAGGCAGCAGUGGGGAAUAGUGCACAAUGGGCGAAAGCCUAAUGCAGCGACGCCGCGUGAGGGAUGACGGCCUUCGGGUUGUAAACCUCUUUCAGUAGGGAAGAAGCGAAAGUGACGGUACCUGCAGAAGAAGCACCGGCUAACUACGUG
rnacentral:rRNA from 1 species